GACGAAGGGGGCUAGCGUUGUUCGGAAUUACUGGGCGUAAAGGGCUCGUAGGCGGCCAACUAAGUCAGACGUGAAAUCCCUCGGCUUAACCGGGGAACUGCGUCUGAUACUGGAUGGCUUGAAUCCGGGAGAGGGAUGCGGAAUUCCAGGUGUAGCGGUGAAAUGCGUAGAUAUCUGGAGGAACACCGGUGGCGAAGGCGGCAUCCUGGACCGGCAUUGACGCUGAGGAGCGAAAGCCAGGGGAGCAAACGGG
rnacentral:rRNA from 1 species